rnacentral:rRNA from 1 species
GACAGAGGGUGCAAACGUUGUUCGGAAUUACUGGGCGUAAAGCGAGUGUAGGCGGUGUGGUAAGUCGGAUGUGAAAGCCCCGGGCUCAACCCGGGAAGUGCACUCGAUACUGCCACGCUAGAGUAUCGGAGAGGUUGGUGGAAUUCUCGGUGUAGAGGUGAAAUUCGUGAGAUAUCGGAGGGAACGACGGUGCGAAGGCGGCGAGCUGGUCCAUUACUGACGCUGAGGCGCGACAGCGUGGGGGAGCAAACAGG